rnacentral:rRNA from 1 species
CGGACGGCUGAGUAACGCGUAGGUGACCUGCCCCGAAGUGGGGAAUAACUGCCCGAAAGGGUGGCUAAUACCGCAUGUGGUGGUUCGUUCAUUCGAACCAUCAAAGCAGUAAUGCGCUUCGGGAGGGGCCUGCGUCCGAUUAGCUCGUUGGUGGGGUAACGGCUCACCAAGGCGACGAUCGGUAGGUGGUCUGAGAGGACGAUCACCCAGACUGGGACUGAGACACGGCCCAG